CUGUGGAAGAACAAGCCCAGACACUUUUCUUCACGGAGCCCAAGGAAAACACUUUACCGAACUCAUAUGGGAUGGCCCUGUAAGUUGUGCAGCACUGUUGUACCAACCAAGAGUGACAUUUUAAAGCAUUACAGACUGCACCAUGGGACCUUUGGACACAGCCAUUCCUUGCCUUGCAUUCAUAUUAAUGAAGUGUCCAAAGGUGCACUGCUGUUCCACUGGAAUCAACAUUUAUGUCACAACUGGACAGGUACACUCCAAAACUCCUGGAGCUCUUCAGUGCAAAAGGAGGAGUGACUGCAGCGCAUCAAGAACUUGUUGAUGGAACUGAUACAGGACCCAAGUGCCUCUGCAGUGAAGAAGAGAGAUGUGACUGUGAGAUGCCUCAUAGAGUACAUGGAGAGAGUGGACAGGAGCUAAUCUCUGACUACUGGAACUGCAGAGACCACUGUUCAUGAGGUCUUGGAAAUAAAGAAUAUGAGCAUCUACAUCUGUCGUGAGCCAAAUGCAGUAGGAAUCAUCAUUGAGGGAGUACCAGUCCUUACUCAUCUUGGAAACCUGGCCAAAGCAUGCUGCCUACUUCUGGGGUUGACGUAUGCACUUAAUCUUGAGUAUCCAUCCAAACUUUCCAAAACAUUUGAGGUG